rnacentral:rRNA from 1 species
CCCUUAGAUGUUCUGGGCCGCACGCGCGCUACACUGACGAAUGCAACGAGCUUAUAACCUUGGCCGAAAGGUCUGGGUAAUCUCCAAAUUUCGUCGUGAUGGGGAUAGAUUAUUGCAAUUAUUAAUCUUCAACGAGGAAUGCCUAGUAAGCGCAAGUCAUCAGCUUGCGUUGAUUACGUCCCUGCCCUUUGUACACACAGCCCGUCGCUCCUACCGAUUGAAUGGUCCGGUGAAGCGUUCGGACCGUGGCCUUUGGACGGUUCGCCGUCUGUUGGCUGCGGGAAGUUCGUUAAACCUUAUCAUUUAGAGGAAGGAGAANUCGUAACA